UAUCCGGAGUCACCCCAUGUCCAUACCCUCAUACUCUAUUAUGACACUCAGGACCCAUUGUCUCCACAUAAACCUAGGCCCUAAGCUCAUCACCAUUUUCAUGCCCAGACUCAAUCAUAGUUUGAAUAUUCCCCUCCAUAGUUGCCUUGCAAUAAAAAUUUUAAAAAUAAGAAUUCAACUAUAGAUAAUAAAAUUUAAUAACAAUGAUUUACUACAAAGAAAAAAUCAAUUACCCUAGUGCGCUCUGAUGUUUCAUCAAUCCAAGUGCGAUCCUUUCGAGUAUGAUAGUGACGAAAAAACGAAACAGGAUCCGCCUCCUUCCCAUGCUUUUUCCACUAUAAUUAUAAGUCAACAAAAAAAAAAGGAACAAUUUUCACCAACCAUCAAAUUAUAUAUAAAUUUCUACCAAUAAUAUAUUAAAUUUAAAAAUAUCUACAAUUCUUGAAAAUGAACAACCCUUACAAGUUCUGCCCUAACUCUUGCAAAAGACUUUGCACCCGUUGUGUGGUUCAUCGUUUUCAACUGCCGAUUAUACCUAUUUUUUGCAGCAAUCUCCUAAAAAAAAUUGAUUUAUUAAACACAUUACAAACUUUAAUAAAAUAAAUAAUAAAGAGUUUACCUUCGUUUUUUCUUUGUUCCAGUAGGAGACCAAUUCAGCCCACUAUUGAGGAUCCACAUUAUGAGGAGUUUUCCGGUACUCCUCAACUGGUUUACCAGUAUAAUGUUUUUUUUUUCAAAUUAUUUCUAUACUCCUUAUGCGCAUGCUUCGCAAUAUGAAGUGUCAUGUGCCGGAUCAUUGGAAUUUUCGCCAUAUCCUCUUCUUGAAAAAUAAUAGUUUCCUGUACGCAUAAAAAAAAUCAAGCAAAUUAAUUAUUACUACAAACAUUGACUUACUAUACUCUCUUCUAGUAACAAAAAAAUAAUUCAACCUUUAUUCUAAUCCAAAAACCUUCUCUGCGAUCUUCCUUGAUUUGACGCCAAUCACUCACCAACGGCAUAUGUCUAGAAUCUCUUAUCUCUACCGCUACAUGUUUUGAAAAUGCACUAGAAUUAUCACUAAUGCAUUUUCCCGAUGCAUCAAAACAACAAACUUGUUCCUUCCAGUUAGGAAUCGAGGGUCCCCGUCCUCGUUGAGUUGUUCCUUAUAAACAAAGAAAAAACAAUUAAAAACCAUGGACCAAAACAAAAAAACUGAAACUAAAAACCAUAAUAAAUUAAAAAUGAACAACCUUCGACUUCUUCCUCUUUGAAUUGGGGUUCGUCAGCUUGUUCAUCUUCAAAAUGAUCCAUAGCAAAACAAUUUGCAAGAAGUAAAAAACUAAAAAGUGAAAUGAGAGAAGAAGUGGAAAAACGGACGAAAUUGGGAGGGAGAUGGACAAACUGAAUUUUGGGAAGAAAAGAAAGCUCGGGCGAAAUGGGGGGGGGGGGGAAAGAAUGGGUUUAAAUAUGGAUGCUAAGUUGGCGUCGGUUAAAACCGACAUUAAAUCACUGACGUCGCUUUAAAACCCACUGGCGUCAAAAUAACUAAAUCAUAAUGUCGGUUUAAACCUAUAACACCACUGAUACAUUUACUAAUAAAAUUAAACCCACCUACUUUCUGACAAAAUUUAAUGAACCAAACGUUGCGUCGAUUUAGUUACACUUGGUGUCGGUUCAAACCGACACCAUCACUGGCACAUUUACUGCUACAAUUAAAUCCACACACUUUUGACAAAAUUUAAUGAACCAGCGUCACUUUAGUUUAACUUGGUGUCGGUUUAAACCGACACCACCACUGACACAUUUAUUGCCUCCACACGCUUCUGACAAAAUUUAAUGAACCAACGUCGCUUUAGCUAAACUUGGUGUCAGUUUAAACCGACACCAUCACUGACACAUUUACUGCUGCAUCUAAUAAAACAACAACUUUCUGACAUAGUUAUUUGAAAUUUACAUGGCGUCGCUUUAGUUAAUCUUUAUGUUGCUUAAAACCGACACUAUUGUCUAACAAGCUUUAAUGAUGUGGC
rnacentral:lncRNA from 1 species